rnacentral:rRNA from 1 species
AGCGAACGCUGGCGGCAAGCUUAACACAUGCAAGUCGAACGAUGUAGCAAUACAUAGUGGCGGACGGGUGCAUAACACGUGGGAAUCUGCCUUUAGGUACGGAAUAACUCAGGGAAACUUGAGCUAAUACCGUAUAAAAUCUCCGGAUCAAAGAUUUAUCGCCUAAAGAUGAGCCCGCGUCAGAUUAGCUAGUUGGUGGGGUAACGGCCUACCAAGGCGACGAUCUGUAGCUGGUCUUAGAGGAUGAUCAGCCACACUGGGACUGAGACACGGCCCAGACUCCUACGGGAGGCGGCAGUGGGGAAUAUUGGACAAUGGGGGAAACCCUGAUCCAGCUAUGCCGCGUGAGUGAUGAAGGCCUUAGGGUUGUAAAGCUCUUCGAUGGGAAGAUAAUGACGGUACCAUCAGAAAAAGCCCCGGCUAACUUCGUGCCAGCCGCCGCGGUAA